CACCGCGGUUAUACGAGAGGCCCAAGUUGAUACACGCGGCGUAAAGUGUGGUUAAGAUAAGUUUCAAACUAAAGUCGAACGCCCCCAGAGCAGUAGUACGCUUCCGAGAGCAAGAAGCCCCCUCACGAAAGUAACUUUACACCAUCUGACUCCACGAAAGCUGUGAAA
rnacentral:rRNA from 1 species